CCGGUGCCUCGGGCCUUGAUCACGCGCCGUCUUCGAGUACAACUUUCUCGGGGCAUUCUCUGGAUAAAACAAUACAGAUACCUCGAGGUAUUUUCCGGCCAAAUAGUACAAUUGUUCCAAGUGUGACAAGACAAAACCAUUCAACAUACAUUUUUAACAUUCACCAAUCCAUAAUUCUUACAUUUUCCUACCCCCUAUCGUUUGCCUAAUAAUUAUCGACCUAAAACAUGAGACUAUCAGAUUUAACAAAGUCGAUGCUUAUUCUGAUAUAAGACAACAAUGGGAGACAUGAAAUUGGCUCAAAAUAGUCCAAACAUACACCAAAAUAAUAGUCCACAAGUUCAAGAGAACCAAGAUGGUGAUCACUCUCGGAUUCAAGAAUAACAAUAAGAACACGAUAUAACAAGGUGUUUAACACCUAUCUCAGCCAAAAAUCCCAAACUAUAUUACAACAAUAAAAUGAAGAACAAUAAUUUUACCACAACAAGACCCCCACGGUUCAACAACAAGACAAGGAAAACCAAAACUAAAACAAGAUACAAGAUAGAGAGUUAGACAAGUAAUGUUAUAAUAUUAAGAACCCAAGAGCAUAUUCCACUCUUGGACCUUUAACACUACAGACACCAAACACCUAACUCCUACGUUGACACAAGAGUGACUUUACCUCCUCUAAACACCAAUGUCUCAAGCCAAAAUGCAACACAAGUGUCUCCACACUUGGAGGCCCUAGUUACGGGUGGGGGUGGCUUUUCAAAGCCCUACUCUAAAGUGAUACACUCUCAAGAGAGAGACUUAGGUGUUACAAAUAUUUCAUGUCUUGACAAUAAUCAACCAAAUGUAAAAUGAACCCUAAAGAACUACUUAUAGCUAUUACAAAAUAAGGAAAAAAUGACCUCCCUACCCUUAAUGAGGGGAGCCUAUGGAGUGUAUUUUGGGCACAAUGAAGUGACCAAAAUGCCCUUAAUAAAGCUGCCCCAAAAUGAAGUGAGCCAUUAAGGGUCCAAACCCAAGAGUCCUCAAGUCUUCAAGGCUCCAACCAACCUUCCACACUCGGGUUUGUUUAAUGAUGUGCUCAAAACGAGACUUCCUUGCAUAUCCUUGUGCUCUCAGGGUGACCAAGUCUUGAGUCUUUAGGUGUUGGCCUCCAAAGAUGUCAUCAAAAGCUAAGACGGUAAUUUGACUUGUAUAUUCCGAAUCAAACGACUAUUAAUGAAUCAAUAUAAAUCAAUAUUCACUUUUAUCAAUGUUUCAAUUCCCACCCUUAAUUCUAUUCUUAAAUUAUCGACUUCUCAUUCAAAUCAAAAUUAAGCAAUCAUUGAUCAAAUCAUAUCCAAUUUCCUUAUCCAAGAGCAUUCAAAUCAUUCAACAUAAUUCCAGCAAUUCCACAUGAUCACAAUAACACAUAUUCAAGCACUUUCCAUCAUAAGCACACAAAAAUCAAAUAAAUUUAAUGAAGUUAAAAGAGAACAAAAGUAGAAUUGGACCUCAAUUUGAAGCUUUUGAACUCAAAUAAUAUUCGAAUGAGGAGAUGAAAAUUGCAUUUGGAAACCCUGAAUCAAACCUGGAUACGAACAGACCGAACUCGGCAUACCCUUUACUGUUUUUUGCCAAUACGAACCAGUAAUUGCGAAAGAGACAAAAGAAUGGACUGAGUGGAAGGGUAUUUCCGGCAACCUUCGCUGGUAACGGAGACAGAGGGUGGUGUUGAUCCAUUUUUCUCUUUGAUUUUCACCCCUUCUCUCACAUCUGUGUAUUUGUUCGCACUUAGGCGAAAACCUCAGUGUCUUCCGAUGUCUGGUGGAUGUAUCGGGUUCACUGGUGAUGUCGAAUUUUGGUGAAGUUUUUCCAAAAAAGAUGGAGUAGCGUGAACUGAUUUCUCUCCCAGCUCCCCUUGUUGUUUCUCUUUUCUCUCAUGCCUCAAUCUCUCUAUGAGUGGAGUCCGUUAGCUGUGUGUACGUGAAUUCAUUUUCUAGUGAGCUCCCUUCACCAUGUGUGUAUUAGUGUGAUGUGAGUGUGUGUGAAUGCGUAUGUAGAAAAAGAAUCUGAGAGGCGUAUAUGUGUGUUCUCUAUAGAAGAAAA
rnacentral:lncRNA from 1 species